UCAAAGCUUACAGGGGCGUCACCGCUUGGCCGCCAUGGGUUUAGGUAGCAGCGCUCCGAUUCCACCACAGACCUCGUCUCGCAUCCCCCUGUCGGUACCUGCUCGUGGAACAGUUGUCUUGGAGCCGUCAGGAGGAAGCAUGGUGCCAACGACGAGGGGGAGGUGUUGAUAGUUGCAGUGGCCGGAUACAUAUAGUUUGAGCGAAAGAGGACAACACACAUUGGGAAAAUGGCGCAGCGGCAGAUUCAGAGGAGGCAGCGGUACACAAAGAAGCACAUCUUUUCCGAUGAGAAGAUUCAAGAGUUGAAUGACACAUUCAAGAUGUUCGACAAGAAUGGAGACGGCAUGAUCACGACAGACGAGCUCGGCAGCGUGAUGAUCUCCCUGGGGCAGAGACCCACUAUACAGGAGAUCCGUGGCUUCAUCAGGGCCGUGGACACCGACAAAAGCGGGUCUAUAGAUUUUGAUGAGUUUCUCGACAUCUUUGCCCGGAAAGUGACGAUGGACCCCGAGAAAGAACUCCGUGAAGUAUUCCGCGUUUUUGACAAGGAUAAAGAUGGAUUUAUCUCCCCUACCGACCUGUUCGAGAUACUCUCUAAAUUAGGAGAGAAGAUCAGUCGGAGAGAAGCGGAGGAGAUGGUGAGGGAGGCUGACCUCAACAAGGACGGAAAGGUAGACUACUCUGAGUUUAAGGCUAUAUUAACAUCGCGAUAACCUGGACUUGUUGAUGUGGCGGGACACACAUACAUUAAGAGCCUGCCGAUCAAGAAAAGAAUUGCUUGUCAGAGUGAACCCUCUACCUGCUGCCUCUCAGCAUCUUCUGAUACUUGUUCGUCAACAAUGUGCAUUUACAGACGGGUUGUUUGUCAACAAUGUGCAUUUAUUGACGGGUUGCUUGUCAACAAUGUGCUUUUUCAGAGGGGUUGCUUGUCAACAAUGUGUAUUAACAGUCGGGUUGCUUGUCAACAAUGUGUAUUUAUUGACAGGCUGCUUGUCAACACUGUGUAUUUAAAAAACGGGUUGCUUGUCAACAAUGUGCUUUUUCAGAGGGGUUGCUUGUCAACAAUGUGUAUUAACAGUCGGGUUGCUUGUCAACAAUGUGUAUUUAUUGACAGGCUGCUUGUCAACACUGUGUAUUUACAAACGGGUUGCUUGUCAACAAUGUGCUUUUUCAGAGGGGUUGCUUGUCAACAAUGUGUAUUAACAGUCGGGUUGCUUGUCAACAAUGUCUAUUUAUUGACUGGCUGCUUGUCAACGAUGUGCAUUUAUUGACAGGUUGUUUGUCAACAAUGUGCAUUUAUUGACGGGUUGCUUGUCAACAAUGUGCAUUUAUUGACAGGUUGUUUGUCAACAAUGUGCAUUUAUUGACGAGUAUUAUUGAUGGUGUUCGUGAGUAGCGGAGUAAUGCCUCUUGCACUGCUUCCUUACACGGACUGUUCCAUGAUGAAUGGAAGGCCUCCACUGGACCUGAAGAUUUGCUACCUUUGAGAUGUGUAUGGUCCAACCAAUAAUACACAAGUUAAUAUUGUCUGAACAUUGUGUAUAUACUCAAGGGCAAAAGUAACUGUGAUCAAACACAUUUUGUCGGACGCAAUACUAAACUGACGGCAUGAAAGCAUGCACUUGAACCGUUGAUUUGACCAAAACACUACAAACGUUAUCAAAACGUUACUAAGCUAACACAACUAAAGGUCCAAAACAACUGUGAUACCCGCAUCAAAUACAUCACCACAAAUAACCAUUUCUUAUUUGUUUCAUUUUUUAGCCACCAUCAAACAUGGGUGCAUGCUUUCUUUUGCUCGGUAGUGUAUAAUAAUCAUGAAGAUUUAACACAUUUACGAAGCCAACUUUUGCCUCAUGUAUCUUGUAGGCUUUAGAUCAAGGGACAAAGUGAGAUUGUGAGUCUUGUUGUUCUAAACCACGUGACACAUAUAACAGUAUCCUUGCAUUUGAUUUGCGUGGAUAGAUGCUCUUGGUGUCAAUCACUGGAUUGCCUGGUCCAGACUCGAUGAUUUACAGACCGCAAUCACAUAGCUGGAUUAUUGCUGAGUGCGGCGUUAAACAUCAAAGAAACAAACGAACUGAAUCUUCACGCUACAUGUUCCUACUAGUUGCCUAAAUAUAUAUACUACCGACAGAAAUAGGGGACCUGAUGAAAUGACAGUGUAAUGACGAUAAAUGUCUCUGAAAUCAAUGUCGGGCAUGCAGAUCAAUAUCUGGUGUGUCCACCAUAAAUGCACGACACCUUGAUGGCACACUAUAGGGGUAACGCUAUUUUUCAGGGCAUUUAUCAUUUGCAGAAGCCCGAGGGCAGUUGAAAAGACCGAGGGCUUCGGCAAAUUAUAAUGCCCUGAAAAAUAGCGUUACCGUUAAUAUAUCUAU
rnacentral:misc_RNA from 1 species